GCUUCAUUUUGACACCCACUUCAUCUACUAUUUCUGUCAACUUAAAACUUGUGCUCUAUGAUUUAGUUUUAUAAUGGGUUUUGCGAAUAAGCCGAGAUGGCAGGAGACGAGAUUAGGCCAUGAUGUAGACAUUAAACUCAAGAUUUAGAAAACUGACCUUGUGCAUGAAGAAUUGGAGAUGAUAAAAUUGCUUUUGAUGCACAGGAUUUUCCAUCAACAGAUGCCAACCAAAUUGCCAACAAUCUCUCCAACAUAGGUCAAUUCUACAACACAAGAUAUUUCAACAGAUGUCAAGGUAUUAUAUUACCACAUUAAAACUUCCCAGGUCCAGUGCAUCAAAUGUCAAUCAUAUAUAAAGUUUUUUUCAAAAAAAAAACUUCAUAUGUACCAUUUAAAAUAUGAUAAUGUCUCCCUUCAUUUCCUUUAUUCAAUAAAUUCUCCUCAUACCGCUAAGGUUAUCCAUUAUCCAUUCUAUCCAUAAGGCAAGGGGUCAUAUCCUAGGAGGAGAAGAUGGUGUUCGUGUGUAUAGUAUGGUCCUUCCAGUACAACUGUGUACUUCUCUCGCCCAGGAGGGGUUGUUUCUUUUCGCUUUUCAUCUUUUUCAAUUAUGUUCCUACGUCUGACAGACAUGAUGCCGGUUGCAGUUUACUCUGUCAAACAUGAUAUCACAGAUGUUCAGCCCCUCAUGCCAAGCUUAAUUUUGGCUAUUAGAGAGGUUGUAAAUCUUAAGGUAACCAAUCUCACACUAUUUCAACUCUUUCUUCAGUCAUUCUGUUUCAGUCAGACAAAAAAAAAACCAAUUACCUCUUAUUUUGGCAGAAUCUGGUGUAUGGUUUGUUGAAUUUUUAUAGGUACUAAAAUUAUUCAAUCUCCUGGGUUCAUAACUAAAUCUCAGUGUUAAUUCACUGGACAAUCAACAUCACCAUGCAAUCAGCAGAAUCAGUUCGUGGCAAGAGGAAAUUUUUUGCAGGAACUUAAAUGUUCUUUGAUCUCCUCAGUGAAGAUCCACAGCAUCCUGUAGACAGAUAUAUGACCAAAUAAGCUUGAGCAAAGUGUGAGAGAAGAGCAUAGUUAAUCAUUUUCAUUCACUUGAAAUGUAGCUUCAUUAAUUUUAUGAGUUCAAUGGUUGGAGUUUUAAAAUAAAACCAAAAGCAAUCACAUGAGGA